GGGGAAUCUUGGACAAUGGGGGCAACCCUGAUCCAGCGAUGCCGCGUGAAUGAAGAAGGCCUUAGGGUUGUAAAGUUCUUUCACCCGUGACGAUAAUGACGGUAGCGGGAGAAGAAGCCCCGGCUAACUCCGUGCCAGCAGCCGCGGUAAGACGGAGGGGGCUAGCGUUGUUCGGAAUGACUGGGCGUAAAGGGCGUGUAGGCUGUUGAUCAAGUCAAGCGUGAAAGCCUCGGGCUUAACCCGAGAACUGCGUUUGAUACUGGUUGACUUGAGGACGAGAGAGGAAAGUGGAAUUCCGAGUGUAGAGGUGAAAUUCGUAGAUAUUCGGAGGAACAUCAGAGGCGAAGGCGGCUUUCUGGCUCGUAUCUGACGCUGAGGCGCGAAAGCGUGGGGAGCAAAC
rnacentral:rRNA from 1 species